rnacentral:misc_RNA from 1 species
AUGAGACUGGCUACCUAAGCAGGGUCCAGUAGAAGAGAGUUGGCAUACCAGCUAUUUCCAAGAUAUGGCUAGCACAAAGAGUAUAACUAUGAGUGUACCACAUAACUGAAUGACGAGGAAAUGCCAACCAACCUCAUCUUGUCUCCAGUUUCCCAAUUCCAGCCAUUAAAACCACACUUGUGGGGCUAGAAAUUUGAAGUCACUUCACAAGGUCAAGCUAAGGUAUCUAGUCAAUAAUUAAGAUACCUAUUCAAUACUUAAUCAACACAUCACAGACCAAAUCAGCUUCAUUUUUUUAAUGCUUUUAGUGUACUAAACAUUUAUGUAAUGCAAGUGCUUUGGUGUACCAAAUAUAUUUCUAAUGCAAGUGGAGCAAAACCAUAAUGAUUGGUCUAUGUGCAAGAAUCUUGAGUUACAUAUCAAGAAUUGUUUCAUAAUUACCUUUCAUCUAAUAUAUAAGCUUCAUCUGAUAUUUUUCUCAUUAUCAGCUCAAACAGUAAUAUCAAAUAAAUCCAUAAAUCAUAAAUCAAUUACUCUGAGGCUAGGCUAAAUCACCAAAAUAAAACAAUUAGGAUGAAAAUUAGAAUUGCUAUAGUGAUCAAUAAAUGACGUAGAAAUUUCCCACCAAAGAAGAUACGCCUAUCAGCAUCCAUAUCUAUCA